GCUGCGGGAGCUGCAGGGAGGAAUAGUAACGCUCACACGCGGGAAUGCGACCGAGCUCGCCGACGGCGAAUCCUGGCUGCGGUGGCUUUUAGCGCUGUGUGAAAACGCGUUCUAAACCACGAGAAGUCUCAAAAUAGCGGGAUCUCAAAGGCAGGAAGAGAAGGAUGAUCCGGUAGAAUCAGAGACGGGCCGCUCGUUUAGUUGAGAAAGGCAGAGGAAGUUCACCGGCGAAGGGUGCCAGCAGUGCGUUGUUGUGGCUAGUUCUGUGGCUUUGAGGAUGCAGUAAGAUGCCUGCUGCACCUGAUCAGCUGGUUUAAGCUCCUGCAAACCGUGCAUCUGUGCUGAAGGGACUGCAGGGAGAGGGACAGCACCAAAGUAUGAACGAAGAUUUCAUUUUACCUUUUUCUGAAACAAAAACCAGCCGAGCAAACAAAACACCCAGACAGCGGAAAAUGCGAACUUUGUAGAUUUGCUGUUUCCCAGUCAAGGAGAGCGGAUGGAAUUUAUUUGUGAGAGGCUCUAUCCCAGCCAAAACAGGACAAGCUAUAAAUUGUGAACUCCUCAUUGACCUCUAACAUACAGAAGAAUCAAAGAAGGUGGAAAGUGGUACUGAUUGCCAAGGAUGGGAAUAAGCAAGAACUGAAGAUCACGGGUUGCAGUGAGAAAGGUUCUGAUUAGAGUUGGGGAAAACACUUCAUAGCAGGAAACUCCAGACCUCGAAGAAGUUGUCCAGGCAGGCUGUGGGUUCUCAGCUGUUGAAGUUUCUCAAAACUUGCCUGGCCGGUCUGUGAGCAAACCAGCCAAUGCUGGUCCUAUUUGGAGCGGGAUGUUUGGACUAAAUGACUUCCAGUGGUUCUUUCCAAACCGAAGCUCUAAGAAAGGUGAAGAUGCAGAAAGCAGUGCAUGUAGGAAGAGGAAUCAGUGGGAACCAUUCAGCAGAACGGUUUGCUGUUCAGCAGAAAGUCAAACCCAUCAACAACAGACACCAUGGGGUUUUUUCACCUUAGACCUCAUGUUCAACAACUGCUAUGAAAAUGAGGUUGCCAACAGAAUGGCAACAUUUCAACAAAAUCAAGGCCGAGGAGGCUGGAGGGAAUGGGAGUUGCUGUAUAGUUAGUAACCAACUGCAUCUGUUAAAAAUGUUACCCUUAAAUGGGUAGUAGGGUUAUUUAAAUGCUUGGCUCACUGCCCAUGGUUACAUACUUCAUGUAUUUUUUGGCAUCUCUGAUCCCAGGCUGGCUAUAUGCUGAAAGCAGGGCCUCUUUCAGAUGGCUGGGCUGAAGCUUGGCAUAUAGCAGUCUAAAACUUACUAGUUGGACUUUCCUAACAGCAUUUGACCCAAUGACUCAGUAGUUCAAUACCAGCUACUAUUUUUCUCAGGGAUUAUUUGAUUUAGUCUCAUUUAUGAACCUGUAGUGGCAAGAUAUAAGUGGAAGAACUUAUGGGGUAAUCAGUGUGUAGUAAUGAGUGUAGAGGCUGCUCCUGGUGCACUGGGCAGUAUUGCUCUUCCAGAAGCAGACUUUGAGAGCACUCCCCAAAGUUUAGGUCUUAGCUGCUCUUAUUACUAAAUGCUUCUCAGUCUUACAGUCACUGCACUGUCUUUGACUUCUUCGGUUGUAAGGCUUGAAUUGGGGGAAUGCUGCAGAAAAUUGUGUAAUCUUCUGUUUCAGCUUUAGCACUUACUAAUUCCUGCUUAUCUCUUAAUGUAACAAGUUUCCUUUAUGCUUUUCGCCUUGCCCCUGGCGAAAAUGAAAUGCCGUACUGCCAGUGUAUGGCUGACGUUCAUCACAUUGAACUUCAUGUUAAUAUUCUCAGAGUUCAUUGCAUUUUAACCUUCAAAAUGUCCAGAGUAAUUUAAGAGUGUGUGAAAACUGCUGCAGAUUAGAACGAGUGAAAAAGUCUGUGUGAUUUGUCCUUGGCAUACAUUACAUGCUUCAUUAAUUUAAGCAGGUAAUCUGUGUUGGUUUGCAUUCUUAAAAAUGAAUUCUUUCCUCAGAUAUAAACAGUGUUCAUUUAUAUCAGUCGGGACAGCAGAUCACACUCUUGUGAUGUGUAGGAAAUCACUAUCCUGUAUUUUUAAACUGCUUCUUUGGAGACGUCCAAUGUUGGUUUGCUCCCAUCUCAGUUCCAUGCUGAAGAAUAAACCUGUUUUUUACAUUCUUAGUAAUGGUCUUACUUUCAGAUGAUGGAAGCCCUCGAACUGCCAGGUAGUUCUAGUCAUGGUGCUCAGGAGUUGUGCAACUGGGUGUGCAACAGUCAGAUUUCUUAACUCCAGAACCGACAGAGGGCUGUAAGAGGCAGCUUUAUCAAGAACAGGUUUUCUGGUUUGGAUGACAGAGGUGCAACUCUUUGAAAAUACACCUCAAAAUAAUUCAAUACAUUGAAGUGUUGAAACCACGUGUCCCUGUAAGAGAGGGCGUUGCUUUCUGGAAAGUUUCAGUAAAAUCAUGUCAGUACUGUUUAUUUACUGGAGGAAGUGCUUCACAAGAGCUCGGUGCAAGGAGGAGUGCUGAUAGGUGGCUCAGGUGGGUGCUGGGGUUAAUGUCUGUAUUCCAGUGAG